rnacentral:rRNA from 1 species
UACGUAGGGCGCAAGCGUUGUCCGGAAUUAUUGGGCGUAAAGAGCUCGUAGGCGGCUUGUCACGUCGGGUGUGAAAGCCCGGGGCUUAACCCCGGGUCUGCAUUCGAUACGGGCUAGCUAGAGUGUGGUAGGGGAGAUCGGAAUUCCUAGUGUAGCGGUGAAAUGCGCAGAUAUUAGGAAGAACACCGGUGGCGAAGGCGGCUCUCUGGAACGGUACUGACGCUGAGACGCGAAAGCGUGGGGAGCGAACAGG